rnacentral:rRNA from 1 species
GAUGAACGCUGACAGAAUGCUUAACACAUGCAAGUCAACUGUGGCGGACGGGUGAGUAACGCGUAAAGAACUUGCCUCACGGAUAGGGACAACAUUUGGAAACGAAUGCUAAUACCUGAUACUGUGGGAGAGCUUUGCGUCCCAUUAGCUAGUUGGAGAGGUAACGGCUCACCAAGGCGAUGAUGGGUAGCCGGCCUGAGAGGGUGAUCGGCCACAAGGGGACUGAGAGUCGGUCCUUACGCCUACGGGUGGAAGCAGGGCGGAAUAGAUGACAAUGGACCAAAGUCUGAUCAAGGAAUUCGGGGUGUACGAUGAAGUUUUCGGAAGGUAAAGUGCUUUGUGUAGAGAAGCGGUACCCACAGAAGAAGCGACGGCUAAAUACGUGCCAGCAGCCGCGGUAAUUC